GAAAAGUCAUUUGCAAGUGAGGGGCCUAGCAACAGGCCAUCAACCUUCCUUUGCCUUGGGGCAGGUAUAAGGAGGCAUUUCAAAUUUUGAUGCAGUGGACAAAAGUUCCCAGAGAAGGAUUCAGUGUGGCCGUUCUUGACGCUCCUGAGAUGCAGCUGCUACCAGAGCGCAGCUGCAGCAAAGAAACGCCAAGGCUGGUUUUGAUUUUCGACAAGUCGUAAAAGCGAAAAUCUCCUUUGGAUCUCAUUCUCCAUUACGGAAAGCAGGAAAUGUGGACCCACAAAGAGAUACCAGGGAUGUGUAUGCACAGAGGAAAGGCUAUGUGAAGAGUCAACAAGAGGGUUACCUGCAGCCAUGGAAAGAGGGCUCAGGAGAAAGCAAAUCAAGAUGCUGAUGUCUCGAUCUUGGACGUCCAGCAUCCAGAGCUGUGGGAAAAUAAAUUUCUGUUGUGUAAGUCAGUAGUUUGCUAUGCCAGCCCUAGUAAAUUAAUGUCAUCACUUAUUUUAUGUAGUUACUAUGAACAUUGAAGAGAGAUUUUUCCAGUACCAGAUAAU